rnacentral:rRNA from 1 species
CCUACGGGAGGCAGCAGUGAGGAAUAUUGGUCAAUGGACGAGAGUCUGAACCAGCCAAGCCGCGUGAAGGAGGACUGCUCUGUGUAUUGUAAACUUCUUUUAUAUGGGAAUAAAACAGGGUAUGCGUACCCCCAUGUAUGUACCUGAUGAAAAAGCAUCGGCUAACUCCGUGCCAGCAGCCGCGGUAAUACGGAGGAUGCGAGCGUUAUCCGGAUUUAUUGGGUUUAAAGGGAGCGUAGGUGGUUUGUUAAGUCAGUGGUGAAAGCUUGGGGGUCAACCGGAGAAUUGCAGUUGAAACUGGCAGUCUUGAGUACGGGAGAGGUGGGCGGAAUGCGUGGUGUAGCGGUGAAAUGCUUAGAUAUCGCGAAGAACUCCGAUUGCGAAGGCAGCUCGCCGG